GCCAGGACAUAGAGUUGGCUGGUACCACUGAUCGAACUAGGAAUUCAGAGAAGGUGCUGGCUUUGGGGAGAAAGAACAUGCGUGCACUGUCACACCUGUUGCUUUCAGUAGGGCCAGCCACAGAGAAGUGCUCAGGUGGAAAUGCUUGGGAAAUACAAGGUUGGAUCUCAUGAAGAAUGGAGCUAGAGAGGUAGAUCCACCUGAAUGUAGAGGUUCUAGCUGAAGCAGUGGGAGAGAAAAGCCCUAAUGGGUCUGGGCUGCUGGAGCGAGAAAACAGAGGGCUCAAGGGCAAAAUGUUUUAAAAUUCAGAUCUGAAAAAAUGAGAGUUCCAAACAGAAAGCGAGUGGUCUGUAGUAUGAGAGGCUGCAAAGAGUACAAGGAUGAUAUAAACAUUGAGUUUGGCAGUUAGGAGAUCAUUAGCAAGUUUUCAAAAAGCAUUUUGGAGUGAUUGGAUCAAAGAUCAUGGAGACAAGAUUUCAGGGACUAAGAUAAAGUGAAAGAAGGGGAAAAGGUUUGUGGCAACCGGUUCAGACAACUACCUUAUAGUUAGUGAUUAUGCAGUGGGUGCAGAGGGGGGAAAGAAAAAGUGUGCGUUUUACAAUGAAAAGCUUUAAAGGAACCUAGAAUGUUGAGUUACCCACUAGCCCUUUAUAUCACGACAUGGAAGAGUGACAUUUACUUAUAAAAGUGACAAAAAAUAAGAAUAUACAAAGCUUACCACAUUAGAGAAACAUGCACACGACAUUUGUUCUGCUCUAAACUAAAAAGACAGUUUUUCUCCCUUUUUAAAAAUAAAUUUAAGAAGAAAAAGAAAUUAAUCACGAUUUCUUUCUUUAGCAAGAAUAUGAAAACUUGGUCUAUUCCUUUUGCAUCCUAAAAUAUAGUUUUAAAGUUCUUUGUUUUUAGGGUGAUGGGGGAAAAGAAACCUUAGAGAGAGGGGGGGAAUGACAUUUCACUCAUUCUCCUACAUUAGCCAACUUUAACGAAACCUAUAACCGGCUGCACUUUACUACCUUUAAAAUAUCACCUCUUACAGAUUUGGCAAGGAAAUGACAGGUUUUUUGGUUUUUUUUUUUUAAGUAGCUAUAUUUUUCUCUCUUUCUUCUGUAACCCAUUUAGCAACUGGUUCACAUGAAUCACAAGGCCAGACUGCUAAAAGUUCGAGAUAUUUCCAAGAAAACUGAGGGAAAAAAUAUUAGCAUCUAUAGGAAGAAAACUUAAAAAAAAAUAAUACCCCUAUGUUUCUGAGAAGUUGACACACGAUUUCAAUUGCUUGAUCCUAAACUAUAAUAAUAAAAUGCCAUUAUUAUUAUUAUUAUUAUUAGGCACUGAAGACAAAUUAAAGAAGAGCCAGAAUUCUCUAGCUCCUGUAUCUAAGAGGUGGUAAUUGGAUUCAAGCAAAUCUAAGGUUGAAUUUCUGCUUCAUCACUUACUUACUGGGCCAGGGGCUACUAACUGCUCUAAGUGCUCAUCGUCAAUUUAUGUUCAGUGAGAGAAUAUCCUAAGUUUUCGCAGGGCACACGGCUGUCCAGUCACAGACUACAUUUCUAGCCUCCUGGGCGGUGAAGUAUGGCCAUGAGUCUAAGUUCAGGUCAGUGGAGUGUGAGCAAGCAGGGUUUUCACAAAUUCUGGGUCAUCUCCUUCAGGAUAAAGCUAGUUGCCCUAACUAUUGUUUUUCCUUCCCAUAUGCUGGAACAUAUACAUGGUGGUGACUGAGCUUUUGCCAUGGCAGUAAUAUUAGAAAGGGAACCUGGGUCUCAAAAUGACCUCAUGGAGUAUUGUUGCUCUGACAAUCUUGAAUGCUCACACUGGGGCUGUUAAGAAAGCAUCAACUUAAUUAAUUAAGCCACUAUACUUUCUGGUGUCCUCAUUACAGCAGCUCAGACUAUAACCUCAAAAACUCAUCUGUCAAGAGUCCUUGGUGUUUAACCCCUCUGGAUCUCAGUUUCUUCUUCUGUAAAUUGGGGAUAAUGCUUACCUCGCAUCUGUUGUGAAGAUUACAUGAGAAAAUGCAUGGGGGGCAGAGGAAGAGGGACCACAGCCUAGCAGAUGAAUGGUGUAUGAUAAAUGUUUGUACUAUUCCCUUAAAUCAUUUAGGAACAUAUGUUUCAUAUACCUUUUCAGUGAAUAUAGAAAAUAAGAGAAUGAAUGUCAAGUAGCUGAAUAUGAUUUGUACUGUAUAGGAGAUGCCAAGAAAUCCAUCAUAAGUUGAAAAUGUCAUAAGUCAGAAAUGCAUUUAAUACAUCCCACCAACCAAACACCCUAGCUUAGCCUAGCCCACUUUAAACGUGCUCAGAACAUUUACACUAGCCUAUAGUUGUGCAAGAUCAUCUAACACAAAGCCUAUUUUAUACUUCAGUGUUGCAUAGCUCAUGCAACUUAUUGAAUACUGUACUGAAAGUGAAAGCCAGAACGGUUGUACGGGCACAGAGAGGUUGUAAGCGUAUGAGCUGUUUACUCUCCCGAACCCGUGGCUGCAGCUCACUGCCACUGCCCAGCGUCAUGAGAGAGUAUCAUACCCCAUAUCGCUAGCCUGGGAAAAGAGCAAAAUUCAAAAUCUGAAGUACAGCUUCUGCUGAAUAUGUAUCCCUUUUGCAGCAUCACAAAGUCAAAAAAAUCAAGUCAAGCCAUCAUAAGUUAGGGACUGUCUGUAUAUAGUAGGCACUCACGAGUUUCCAUCAGAUUAUAAACUCCUUGAGUGCCAGUUCUGAGUCUCGUUUACCAUUGUAUCCCAAGUGCACACACAUAUUUAGACUCAAUAUUUGUUGAGUAAGGAGAACAUUGAUAUAAAAUGUGAGUUAGCUAUUUUUAUCUCCAUCACUUCCUUCCCUCCCCGUGACCCCACCCACGGAAGGAGGAAGCUCACAUACAGAGUGAAGUAACUUGCCUGCACUGGCCCGGUUUGUAAGUAGCCGACUCAAGAUUCGAACCAAAUCCAGGCCUCACUGGAUCCACAUUUUGAGGUCUUUUCACCCUGAACCUGGAUAAGUACUCUUUCUUGAGGGCAGACUUGGAGACAAAUGAAGAUGACAAAUUCCAAGGAAUGAAAAAAUUCCAGAUGUUCUCUGUUUAGAUUCAGAAAUGCUUCCUCUAUGGUAUCCCUGAACUACUGGCUGACUUGCAAAACAGAAACUUAUAAUUGACCAUCCUUCCAUAUGUCUUCUCAGGAUCCACUCACUCACAAUAAAAUAAAUUAAUAUUUAUUCAUUUCA